UCCCUGGUGGCUCAGACGGUAUAAAGAAUCUGCCCGCAAUGCAGGAGACCUAGGUUCGAUCCCUGGUUUGGGAA
rnacentral:tRNA from 1 species